UCCAUCUAAUCCUAACCAAACACAUCCUCAAUAAUUUCUCAUCUGCCUCCCUCAACCCACGCCUCCUUACACCAUCACCACAAUCAACAACUCCCUCAACCCACGCCUCUUUACACCAUCACCACCAUCAACAACUUUACGAUAUCUGCAUUCUUUUUCUCUCUUCUUAACUUUUUCUACCACUCACAAGGACAAAAAAUGGAAUAGACAUCGUUCUUUCGAAACCUUCGAUGAUCUUCAGCAAUGGUUACAAUUUCUUGACUCUUUCCAUUCCAACUCUCAAAUUUGAUUGAUGUUAGUGUGUGUUGUGUUGUGUGUGACUCUUUCAGGUUAGCUAGCACGGAGGGCAGUUCUUUCAUGGAAAACACAUCACGACGAAGAGUUAUUGUUCUCUAGUACUAAAGUAGAUCAGGCAAUCUUUAGUCCUCCCAAACCGGCCAGAGGAGGUUAAUUUGAGCAAAUUGGAAAUAGCUGCAUUGCGGAGAUAUUGGCUGACACUUCAAUCUGGUUGGGAUUGAUCUAGAAAGAAAUUUUGACGGGAAAGCUUCUAAUCUUGUGGAGCAGUGUGGAAAAUCAUCUAUGAAUCUUGUUGCCCUUGUUGCACGUCAUUUUUCUGGUUUAUCGUGAUAUGGUAGGCAGUGCUUACUAUGUUGCUCCUGAGGUACUGCGUCAGGGUUAGCAAGGAAAUAGACAUUUGGAGUGCAUACAUGAUAUUGUAUAUUCUCCUUAGUGGUGUACCACCUUUUUUGGCUGAAACUGAAAAGGGAAUAUUUAAUGCCAUAUUUGAAGGAGAACUUAACUUUGUUAGAGAACCAUGGCCAUCAAUGAACUUAAUUUUGUUAGGGAACCAUGGCCAUCGUUAUCAAACAGUGCUAAAAAUCUAGGCAGGAAGAUGCUCAAUCCAGAUCCAAAAAAGAGAAUCACUUCUACACAAGUCCUUGUAGCCCGAGCUUCUCAUUCUGUGUUCACUGAAUUUAUGUCUAUGGCGAAGGAAUCUGAAAAGUACUAUGGAGUCUCUUGGAAGGAGAAGCUCAUUUUCCAUUACAUACAAGUUCAUGUAGUUGUUAGAACUACAGGUGAUAUUUAGUUGUGUGCAGACUUUGACAGAAACACGGAUACGCUAAUACACCUGCAAGAUGAUUAGACGGGGCUUGGGUGGGUUUUGGUCUGGAAUUCGGCAUUUGGUAGGUUAUAUGUAAGUUCUUAUGUAAAUUCUUACUGGGGUUGUUGGUUUUCUCUGAUAGAAAUAGAAAUAUGAUUCAAUUCAAAAUUUCGGCAUUUGGUAUAUUCAGCAAUUGGUAGGUUAUACAAAA